UACGGAGGGGGCUAGCGUUGUUCGGAAUUACUGGGCGUAAAGCGCGCGUAGGCGGCCACCGCAAGUCGACUGUGAAAUCUCCGGGCUUAACCCGGAAAGGUCAGCCGAUACUGCGGGGCUAGAGUGCAGAAGGGGCAACUGGAAUUCUCGGUGUAGCGGUGAAAUGCGUAGAUAUCGAGAGGAACACCUGCGGCGAAGGCGGGUUGCUGGGCUGACACUGACGCUGAGGCGCGAAAUCUAGGGGAGCGAACGGG
rnacentral:rRNA from 1 species